CAAGGCUUCAAUGCUUCUCCA
rnacentral:siRNA from 1 species